AAACGUGAUAUCUGACCAUCUCUCCUCACCUCCUACUCGAAAACCCCCUUCAUUCCCACUCCAUUCCUCUUCUUUGUUUUGCCAAUCAACUUUGUUUUGCCAGUUUCCAAUGUUUCUGCAAGACGGCCCCCCAGUUUGUUCACGUGUGUGUUUGUGUUCACUUCCUUUUUUCUCUUCUCCAUGAGUUGCCACAACUAUAACUCCCCUGGGCAGAUACAAAAUCCGCAAGGUUGCAAAACAGAGCUUUGAUCCUUGGAAAGAAAUGGAGUGUGCUCCACGCAUCAGACAGAGAGAACCCAAACAACUGAACACACUGCCUUCCAUUUGGGAGCCUCAGGGGACACUGGAGAAGAUAUUUUGGAGAAGCAUUAGAGCAGACAGAGUUAGAAGAAAACCUCUGCUGACAGAUUGUGCUCAGAUCCUGGCUCUGCCAAGCUGCAUGACCCUGGACCAGUCAACAAUCGCUUUGGAGAGGAGAAACAAUUACUUUGUAAACU
rnacentral:lncRNA from 1 species